rnacentral:lncRNA from 1 species
GAAAGUUCUUUAUAAAGUGAUUCAGCUCCAAUUGUUGAUGUCCUAACAAAAAAUUUUCCAAUAAAUUUAAAAAAGAUCAAAUAUUUUAAGUUGGACCCAUAUAAUAUUUUUGAACAGAAAACUUUGUCAGUUGAUGCAAUAAUUCAAAAUCCUGAAGACCUUAUUCAGUUCAGCGAACAUCAUAAUAAAUGGCUAAAAAGUCAAUAACGAAGCCAAGAUCAAUUUUCAAUUUCAUCGGAUCGUAAUUUUAAUCGAUACGAUACUAUAGAUGAAACAGUGCGAAUUGCCAACAGUUUGGUUGGAGGAAGAACAAGUUCAUCACCAUCAAGGGUUGGGACACCACUGACUCAAGAAAAUAAUAAUUAUAACACGUCACAUGCCAAUGAAAUUGAUGGGAAUAUUAUAAAUAUAUCAGAUAGUAUAUCAAAAAAUCAGCAUUCUAAUGAUUCUGAAAAUCGUGAGAAUAAUAUUAUUGAGCAAAGUGAACAUCGGUCUGAUUCUCCAACAACUAUCAACGCCAAUUACAUUGUGUCCGCAAAAAAAAAUAUCAUUUCAACAGAUGAUACACCUUUAAUGCUGUAUAAAUAUCUUCAGAGUGAUGUUUCGGGUCGUGGUGUACUAAAGGCAUAUACAGAUGGUAAAUUUUUUCCAACUACUCGUAGCAUAUUAGUUCGCCGCAUAAUCGAUCGAGAGAAGGUGAAAGCCUUCAAAAAUGUUCCUCCCAAUAAACCCUUAGACAAAUUGACAAUCUUCAAAAACUUAUUAUAUUCCGUAUCGAGUAGAAGAUUCUAAGAAAAGUGGACCUUCUGGGAAAUUGCAGAGCCUUUAUGAUUACAUCGUUCAACGUUUAAAAGGAGCUGGAUUAAUAAAAGUUACAUCAAAAAACAAUGAUGAUAACGAAUUAAUAAAUGAAACAGAUCAUUCCACCACCAAUUGUGAUGAUAUAAACGACGAAUUGAAUAUUUUAAAGAGUAGAACCUUAGAGGCAGCUUUGGUCAUUUUAAAAUGCUGGAAAAAAACUCAUAAGUAUAGGAGAUCUCCUCUAAUGGAAAAAAAAUACUCUGUUGCUGACUAUAUACAAUUAUUUCCGUUCCUGAGUACUGAGAGCGCAGUGAAUUUAAUUAUAGCUGAUUUUUCGUCACUGUACCCUGAAAAGGAAAAUUUGUUACAAAUAUACUUAAAACUGUGCGAGCUCCAAAAACGCUUUUUGAAAAAUCAUUAGUAUUAAAAUUAGAGAAAAGUGUAAAUGAUCAAGACGACGCACUUAUACUUUAUUUUCUCUCUACAUUGAUGACUGGGCCGUAUGUGGACAUUUCAAUUGAAAACGAUCAAGAGGAACCUCCAACAAAACGAAAAAAUCGUAAAAAACGAACAUCAGCUGCAGAAGCUCGAAAUUGUGUUUUUUGAUUUCGCCGAAUGCCGUUGACGUCAACAAAAUCUUACAGGAGAGAAUACGUCUUCUGAAUGAAUUAAAUCUUUCAUUUCAACCAAUUAUUGUGUUAAUUGGAGAAUUAGGAAACAUCAUCGAUUCCUACAUCUUCAUUGAAGAAACUCGC